rnacentral:rRNA from 1 species
AACGAACGCUGGCGGCAGGCCUAACACAUGCAAGUCGAGCGCACCCUUCGGGGUGAGCGGCGGACGGGUGAGUAACGCGUGGGAACGUGCCCUUCUCUGCGGAAUAGCCUCGGGAAACUGAGAGUAAUACCGCAUACGCCCUUUGGGGGAAAGAUUUAUCGGAGAAGGAUCGGCCUGCGUUGGAUUAGGUAGUUGGUGGGGUAAUGGCCCACCAAGCCGACGAUCCAUAGCUGGUUUGAGAGGAUGAUCAGCCACACUGGGACUGAGACACGGCCCAGACUCCUACGGGAGGCAGCAGUGGGGAAUCUUAGACAAUGGGGGCAACCCUGAUCUAGCCAUGCCGCGUGAGUGAUGAAGGCCUUAGGGUUGUAAAGCUCUUUCAGCUGGGAAGAUAAUGACGGUACCAGCAGAAGAAGCCCCGGCUAACUCCGUG